rnacentral:tRNA from 1 species
UAAGGUGUAGCCUAAUAUAAGGCGUUUAACUGUUAAUUAAAAGAUGCACAAGCUGCCUCCUUAA